rnacentral:rRNA from 1 species
GACGAACGCUGGCGGCGUGCUUAACACAUGCAAGUCGAACGGUAAGGCCCCUUCGGGGGUACACGAGUGGCGAACGGGUGAGUAACACGUGAGCAACCUGCCCUUGACACCGGAAUAACA